rnacentral:lncRNA from 1 species
ACCCAGGAGGGGUCUGUGUCAUGUGUUUCUCGUGGCCCCGCCAACCCAGGAAGAGUGGUCGUUAAGAGCAUGUUGGAUUCUGUGGGACUCGGAAGAGGUGCCUGAACUUCCCUGUGCUUUUGAAGUCAAGGGACUCCUCCCAGUGAUUAGGAGCAGUGGAACCGUCCGGAUCCUGCCCUUGGUCCAUGCCUUUGGCCUUUGGUCAUGUAGUGGCGGCCCUUUGGGCUCUGCCAUUUGUGUUUCAGAUCAUCAGUUCUGCUAUGUGAAUGGGCAGGACUCUCCAUCGCCUUGGCAAGACAAGGUGCUCCUCGUCCAGGAAGUGUUAGGAGUCCUAGGAGCCAGUUCCUCCCAUGGGAUGUGGGCUCCGGAUGGAGGACAGAGUCUCUUCAGGGCCCUCCUGGGCUACUGAAAUGGUCCAAGAAAACCCUUCAAGUUGACUUCCCUUCUCUAAUAUUCAAUUUUCUUGUCCAUCCAGUGGAAGAGUUGGAGUUGAUACUUGAUCCAUUUCAGCUCUAACUUACUAAAGUCUGUGAUGGCUCUGGACCUUCACGUUUCAGGACCAGGCCUGGUCCUUCUCAGCUCUCACACUGAAGCCUCAGAACCAGCCUCACUUGGAGGGUGGUCUUCAGCUCCCAGCCAAAAGCCUCGCUUGAACCUCCUCACACUUCAAAGACAAGGAUGGUACCCGCAUGCCACUCAGCCCUUGGAAGGGAGAAACAGUUUGGCAAAGGCCACAGAAUGGACCUCGUCUCCUUACACCGAGCCCAGGGCUCCAUUCAGCAGCCACCUUUCCACCCCCACCCCCAUCUCCUCCCCUCACCCCGAUAUGCAUCUACAUGGCUGCAAACAAGAGCAGCCAAGUGUAGGACCUCCACCCACUGCCAUCAGCAGACACUCAAGUGGACAGGCUGGACUGGAGAACAAGAACAAGAAAGAUCCCUCGGUGUCUGCAAUGGCUCAAACUUGAAAAGACAGAGCCUUCUCCAAACAUUUACAUUUCUGCCAGGCGAAGAUUCAUGGGACUCUGAAUCCCAAAAUAUACAGGUUUUCAUGGGAAGAUUCAAAGGGGAUCCUGCUCAUUUUGUGACAAUUUAAUCAGUCUUGCCAAUGUCACUGAAGAACAAGAGACUAAAGUGCCUGUUGUGGCUCAGCAGAAACAAACCCAACUGGUAUCCAUGAGGACGCAGGUUCAAUCUCUGGUCUUGUUCAGUGGGUUAAGGAUCCACCGUUGCCAUGAGGUGUGGUGUAGGUCACAGACCUGGCUUGGAUCUGGUGUGGCUGUGGCUGUGAUGGAAGCUGGCAGCUGCAGCUCUGAUUCAGCCCCUACCCUGGGCACUUCCAUAUGCCACAGGUGAGGUCCUAAAAAGCAAAAAAAGAAAAAAGUAAAAAGCAUCUUUGCCAGACCCACGUGGGUUUUAUUUCUGGGAUCCUACAUGUAUCAGUUUAAUAAAUUCACGAACAACGUUUGGUUGGAGUUGAAU